rnacentral:rRNA from 1 species
UACGAGGGGGGCGAGCGUUGUUCGGAAUUAUUGGGCGUAAAGGGUGCGUAGGCGGUUUGGUAAGUCUUAUGUGAAAUCUACAGGCUCAACUUGUAGUCUGCAUGAGAAACUGCCGGGCUUGAGUAUGGGAGAGGCGAGUGGAAUUUCUGGUGUAGCGGUGAAAUGCGUAGAUAUCAGAAGGAACACCCAUGGCGAAGGCAGCUCGCUGGCCUACAACUGACGCUGAGGCGCGAAGGCGUGGGGAGCAAACAGG